CUAUGUUUCUCUCAGAACAUCAGUUAAUGCAGAGUAAGUCAAUCAUAUCCACUGUGAAUGGAAAUGGAUUUAAAGUCCCACCGCUCCAUCGCAGAGCCCAGCCAAGCUUGUUAGGUGGCACAAUUAAUCGAGUUCAUCAGAGCCAGAUUCAUUCUGUUCAUCCAAACAGUGUGAUUUCUUGGCUGGUUUUAAACAAUCCUAACCCUGGGACUUUUGGCGGCCUUCUAAACCUGUUUCAAAACAACUUGUUUUAUUAAGCCAUCUGCACUCAAUAAGACCGGGCAAACACACCAGCUGAAAAAACGUAGCAGCAGAUUUCAGCCUUCAGAACACUGAGCCUACUGUGCCGCUCCACUACUUCACAAAACAGCAGAACGCCACAGUCCUUGUCUAAGUUUUUUUUUCCCUUCCUGUAUUUUACAAUAGAAGAUUUUCUUUAACCUCAAUGUGGCUUUUACCCGGUUAAAUAAUGGAUAUAUACAUACAAUACAUUCUUGCAUCAUGUGUGCCACAGGCAGUUGUCUUUUCAUCUUUACAACAGGCAGUGUUAACUCUAAGUUACAGUUUAAAUAUAUUUAAUGCAAAGCAGCAGAACACACAAAGCCUAUCCCCAGAAAAACACCAUAUCUGGUGCACAGUCUGGUUCAACUCUGGAUUGUGUGGAUUUGUUCCAGCCUGCAUACACGACAGUCAGCUGCUGCAGUACAUCUUGUUUUUAUGAUGUUCCAUUGAUCCCUGAAGGAGGAAUUCAUCUAUUCGGUUUCUCUCAUUCCUUCCUCAUGCCGUGCCAUCUUAACGCACAUCUUAACCCUCGAUCAUUAAAAUUACAAAAAAGUACUUUGUUA